GAUGAAGAACGCAGCGAAAUGCGAUAAGUAAUGUGAAUUGCAGAAUUCAGUGAAUCAUCGAAUCUUUGAACGCACAUUGCGCCCGCCAGUAUUCUGGCGGGCAUGCCUGUUCGAGCGUCAUUACAACCCUCAGGCCCCCGGGCCUGGCGUUGGGGAUCGGCGGAAGCCCCCUGCGGGCACAACGCCGUCCCCCAAAUACAGUGGCGGUCCCGCCGCAGCUUCCAUUGCGUAGUAGCUAACACCUCGCAACUGGAGAGCGGCGCGGCCACGCCGUAAAACACCCAACUUCUGAAUGUUGACCUCGAAGCAGGUAGGAAUACCCGCUGAACUUAAGCAUAUCAAUAAGCGGAGGA
rnacentral:misc_RNA from 1 species